CACAGUCUGGCCAGCUCAUUAUUUUAGUUUUUACCCUUUCCUGCUUAAAGUGGAGAAAAUAAAGAAUUUGAGUGUGCAUGUAACAUAACUUAUUGUUCCAAUUUCCCUGAAGUUAGUUAGAGCACCUGGAUAAGAACUCCGAAUUCUGAAUUGGUAAUUUUCUGAAUAGGUUUUAUUAAAGUUGAAGAUAUAUUGUCUUCCAUAAUUUAAGUAGCAAUACAGUAAAUGUCCUCGCAGGGAAAUCCUCAUUUAAUACUCCUUGAAUGGACAUUACACUGAGGUAUACAGCAAGUUAACUUUUUUUUUUUUUUUUUUUUUUUUUUGAGACAGAGUCUCGCUCUGUUGCCAGGCUGGAGUGCAGUGGCAUGAUCUCGGCUCACUGCAACCUGCAACCUCCACCUCCCGGGUUCAGGCUAUUCUCCUGCCUUAGCCUCCCAAGUAGCUAGGACUACAGGCACGUGCCACCUCUCCCAGCUAAUUUUUUUAUUUUUAGUAGAGACGGGGUUUCCCCCAUGUUGGGCAGGAUGGUCUCAAUCUCUUGACCUCGUGAUCUGCCCGCCUCGGCCUCCCAAGGUGCUGGGAUUACAGGAGUGAGCCAUGGUGCCUGGGCAGCAAGUAACCAUUUUAAAGAAAUACUCUCAACAAGUUCUUUUUUUAUGGGGUAUUUCAGUUGUUAACAAAGUUAAAAUACUUAUUGGAACUAAUUCUUUGUAUUUUAUUCGAGGAAGAAGAAUCUAUAAGAUUGACUUACUCAUUGUUGACUGGUUUUUUGAAGCCUUACUGGGUAUAUGGACAGUUUGGGAUAAAAAGCAAAUCAAUCACUUUUCAAAAGCUGACUUAAAGUCACAUAAACUUUCAAUACUUCACCUGCAAAUCUGCUUCAACCUCACUACACACAAAAGAAACUGCUAUGCUUUGGCUUUAAAUUACCAUCUCAAUAGGCAAGUUUAUCUGAAGGCAUACAGAAUCUUACUAUUACAGAAAUUUAGUUGUAUUAUUUAUCCCCACUUGAAAAAGUUAAGUUUUUCAUUUAAAAUUAACCACAAUGUUACUUCUCUGUGCAGAAAUCUCCCUAAUUAUAUAAAGCUUAUUUUUUUUACUUUUAGUCUGAGGCGAUGUAGAUAAAUAUUUUCCAGAAUUUCAAAUCCUAACAAACAGAUGAUAAUGAUGUAAGUUCUAGAUACUGAGAACCUAUGUUCUAAACUUAUUAUCCAAUUUCAAUGGAUUAAUAAAUAUUCUAUAAUAACUUCAUAGGUAUCCUGGAUAUCUUGAUAAUCUGCCCUAUUCUUGCACAGGAAUAGGACCUGCAGGUAUCUAAAAGAAGAACAUCAGACCCAACAGCAGCAACACUGGCAUUAGUUGGAAGACUGGCCUAAUGGAUGGGCUUUAUAACAAAUAAUAUAUUUCUCUAACUAACUCUUAACCAUUGCUCUUCUCUGAGCAGCCUAAAGUUAUAUAAAACAUUGACUUGCUGUAUAGAAUUCAAUAUAAUUUCCAAAAAAGAUACUUU
rnacentral:lncRNA from 1 species